rnacentral:lncRNA from 1 species
GUUAAUCUCUUUUCUUUUCUAAAAUAAUUAACUAAAUUUUCUAAAUUAUUAAGUUCUUAAAAUGAUAAUGUUAUAGAGAUAAUAAAGUCAUAGACUUCCAUUAAGAUGGAUGAUAAUUGAUCCGAUAGUCUGAUAAUCAUUGGAGGCACUACGCGCUUGAUGCUUAUCUGCUAUUAAAAUUGUCAUUCAUAAUAUGAUGAUUCAGCUGUACUUUCUAAUAGGUAGUCAGA